CAUCAGCAAGAAUAUUCCAUUGCAUAAUUCUCAACAAACCAUUCUUUUGCUGUAAAUCCACUUCACAACCUGUAUUGCUAUUGAGAAAACAUCUGUUUAUAGUCCUAUGUACAGGAUUUUCCAUCAGUACGUAUUUACUUUGAUAUUUAUUUUGCAGAAAUUUUAUAAACUCUCGUGCUUUGGUUGUUCCAGUAAAUUUUAGAAAUACUUCUUGUCCAGUGACUCCAGGCAAUCUUGUCUGAAAGUGAAAUAAUAAUCGGGCCAUUGGAAGGGGGGGGGGGAUAUUUCCCUUUGUAAAUGGCGGCAAUUAAUAGGAGACUCGUCACCUCUGAUAGGAGGAGACAGGAAAGAGUCGGUUUUCACCGGUGGUUUUCACUUUUUUCCAUCUACCAAACUGACGUUACGUCAUUCGAUCAAUUUCUG